rnacentral:rRNA from 1 species
AAUAGAUACCCCGGUAGUCCAUGCCGUAAACGUUGGGCACUAGGUGUGGGGCUCAUUCCACGAGUUCCGUGCCGCAGCAAACGCAUUAAGUGCCCCGCCUGGGGAGUACGGCCGCAAGGCUAAAACUCAAAGGAAUUGACGGGGGCCCGCACAAGCGGCGGAGCAUGCGGAUUAAUUCGAUGCAACGCGAAGAACCUUACCAAGGCUUGACAUGCACGGGAAGCCACCAGAGAUGGUGGUCUCUUUGGACACUCGUGCACAGGUGGUGCAUGGUUGUCGUCAGCUCGUGUCGUGAAUGUUGGGUUAAGUCCGCAACGAGCGCAACCCUCGUCCCAUGUUGCCAGCGGGUUAUGCCGGGGACUCAUGGGAGACUGCCGGGGUCAACUCGGAGGAAGGUGGGGAUGACGUCAAAUCAUCAUGCCCCUUAUGUCUUGGGCUUCACGCAUGCUACAAUGGCCGGUACAAAGGGCCGCGAUACCGUAAGGUGGAGCGAAUCCCAAAAAGCCGGUCUCAGUUCGGAUUGGGGU